GUGAACGCUGGCGGUAGGCCUAACACAUGCAAGUCGAACGGCAGCACAGUAAGAGCUUGCUCUUACGGGUGGCGAGUGGCGGACGGGUGAGGAAUACAUCGGAAUCUACUUUUUCGUGGGGGAUAACGUAGAGAAACUUACGCUAAUACCGCAUACGACCUACGGGUGAAAGCAGGGGAUCUUCGGACCUUGCGCGAUUGAAUGAGCCGAUGUCGGAUUAGCUAGUUGGCGGGGUAAAGGCCCACCAAGGCGACGAUCCGUAGCUGGUCUGAGAGGAUGAUCAGCCACACUGGAACUGAGACACGGUCCAGACUCCUACGGGAGGCAGCAGUGGGGAAUAUUGGACAAUGGGCGCAAGCCUGAUCCAGCCAUACCGCGUGGGUGAAGAAGGCCUUCGGGUUGUAAAGCCCUUUUGUUGGGAAAGAAAAGCAGCAGGUUAAUACCCCGCUGUUCUGACGGUACCCAAAGAAUAAGCACCGGCUAACUUCGUG
rnacentral:rRNA from 1 species